AUGGGAAGCAGGUCAAUAUUCCUGCACCAUUGUUAGAUGCGAUGGGGGGACGGAUCGCGGAAGGUUGUCCGGGUGUUGGAAGUCCCGGUCGCUGCAUUGGAGAAGGCGCUUAGGCAAAUCCGGGCGCAGGAUUCAAGGGUGUGGCGCGAGCUCCUUAGGGAGCGAAGCAAUUGGAAGUGGUUCCAAGAAAAGCCUCUAAGCUUCAGUCUAACGAUGACCGUACCGCAAACCGACACAGGUGGGCGAGAUGAGUAUUC
rnacentral:rRNA from 1 species